rnacentral:tRNA from 1 species
GCCCACGUAGCUCAGAGGCAGAGCACUUCUUUGGUAAAGAAGAGGUCAUGGGUCCGAUUCCCAUCGUGGGCU